rnacentral:sRNA from 1 species
GCCAGGUGUGGUGGCACACACCUGUAAUCCCAGAGACUUUGGAAGCUGAGAUAGGAGGAUUGCAAAUUCAAGGCCACACUCAGCAACUAAGUAGGGCCUAAACAGUUUAGCGAGACCCCAUCUCAA